rnacentral:rRNA from 1 species
UAAGGAAUAUUGGUCAAUGGACGCAAGUCUGAACCAGCCAUGCCGCGUGAAGGAUGAAGGUCCUCUGGAUUGUAAACUUCUUUUAUCUGGGACGAAAACGGGAUUUUUAUCUCAAUUGACGGUACCAGAGGAAUAAGCACCGGCUAACUCCGUGCCAGCAGCCGCGGUAAUACGGAGGGUGCGAGCGUUAUCCGGAUUUACUGGGUUUAAAGGGUGCGUAGGUGGGCUUAUAAGUCAGUGGUGAAAUCUCCGAGCUUAACUUGGAAACUGCCGUUGAUACUAUAGGUCUUGAAUUAUCUGGAGGUAAGCGGAAUAUGUCAUGUAGCGGUGAAAUGCUUAGAUAUGACAUAGAACACCAAUUGCGAAGGCAGCUUACUACAUAUAAAUUGACACUGAGGCACGAAAGCGUGGG